rnacentral:rRNA from 1 species
GUAAUAAUCCUGUAGUCGAAAAUGUUGUCUCUCUUGAGUGGAUCCUGAGUACGACGGAGCACGUGAAAUUCCGUCGGAAUCUGGGAGGACCAUCUCCUAAGGCUAAAUACUCUCUAGUGACCGAUAGUGAACCAGUACCGUGAGGGAAAGGUGAAAAGCACCCCGGAAGGGGAGUGAAAUAGAACCUGAAACCGUGUGCUUACAAGUAGUCAGAGCCCGUUAAUGGGUGAUGGCGUGCCUUUUGUAGAAUGAACCGGCGAGUUACGAUUUGAUGCAAGGUUAAGCAGUAAAUGUGGAGCCGUAGCGAAAGCGAGUCUGAAUAGGGCGUUUAGUAUUUGGUCGUAGACCCGAAACCAGGUGAUCUACCCUUGGUCAGGUUGAAGUUCAGGUAACACUGAAUGGAGGACCGAACCGACUUACGUUGAAAAGUGAGCGGAUGAACUGAGGGUAGCGGAGAAAUUCCAAUCGAACCUGGAGAUAGCUGGUUCUCUCCGAAAUAGCUUUAGGGCUAGCCUCAAGUGAUGAUUAUUGGAGGUAGAGCACUGUUUGGACGAGGGGCCCCUCUCGGGUUACCGAAUUCAGACAAACUCCGAAUGCCAAUUAAUUUAACUUGGGAGUCAGAACAUGGGUGAUAAGGUCCGUGUUCGAAAGGGAAACAGCCCAGACCACCAGCUAAGGUCCCAAAAUAUAUGUUAAGUGGAAAAGGAUGUGGCGUUGCCCAGACAACUAGGAUGUUGGCUUAGAAGCAGCCAUCAUUUAAAGAGUGCGUAAUAGCUCACUAGUCGAGUGACACUGCGCCGAAAAUGUACCGGGGCUAAACAUAUUACCGAAGCUGUGGAUUGUCCUUUGGACAAUGGUAGGAGAGCGUUCUAAGGGCGUUGAAGCAUGAUCGUAAGGACAUGUGGAGCGCUUAGAAGUGAGAAUGCCGGUGUGAGUAGCGAAAGACGGGUGAGAAUCCCGUCCACC